rnacentral:tRNA from 1 species
GGCGGCAUAGCCAAGUGGUAAGGCGAAGGUCUGCAAAACCUUUAUUCAGCGGUUCGAUCCCGCUUGCCGCCUCCA